rnacentral:rRNA from 1 species
CACGUAGGGGGCGAGCGUUGUCCGGAAUCAUUGGGCGUAAAGAGCUCGUAGGCGGCUCGGUAAGUCGGGUGUGAAACCCCCCAGGCUCAACCUGGGGACGCCACCCGAUACUGCUGUGGCUAGAGUCCAGUAGGGUAGUGGAAUUCCCGGUGUAGUGGUGAAAUGCGUAGAUAUCGGGAGGAACACCAGUGGCGAAGGCGACUACCUGGCCUGUUCUUGACGCUGAGGCGCGAAAGCUAGGGGAGCAAACGGG